CGGCUUCACCAGGGGUGUCCCGACAAGGGGCUGAGAUACUGCUGAGCCGAAAGGCAGCGCAGGGACCCUACGAACCUGAUCCAGUUCACACUGGCGUAGGGACGGUGCGGAUGCCUUUCG
rnacentral:ncRNA from 2 species